rnacentral:rRNA from 1 species
UAACACGUGGGGUGACCUGCCCCCCCACUUCGGGAUUAAACCUGGGAAAACGGGUUCUAAUACCGGAUAGGACCGCACCGUGAGGGUGUGGGGAAAGUUUUUUCGGUGUGGGAUGGCCCCGCGGCCUAUCAGCUUGUUUGGUGGGGUAAUGGCCUACCAAGGCGGCGACGGGUAGCCGGCCUGAGAGGGUGGACGGCCACAUUGGGACUGAGACACGGCCCAGACUCCUACGGGAGGCAGCAGUGGGGAAUAUUGCACAAUGGGCGGAAGCCUGAUGCAGCGACGCCGCGUGGGGGAUGACGGCCUUCGGGUUGUAAACUCCUUUCACCAUCGACGAAGGUUUUCUGACGGUAGAUGGAGAAGAAGCACCGGCUAACUACGUGCCAGCAGCCGCGGUAAUACGUAGGGUGCGAGCGUUGUCCGGAAUUACUGGGCGUAAAGAGCUCGUAGGUGGUUUGUCGCGUCGUCUGUGAAAUUCCGGGGCUUAACUCCGGGCGUGCAGGCGAUACGGGCAUAACUUGAGUACUGUAGGGGAGACUGGAAUUCCUGGUGUAGCGGUGAAAUGCGCAGAUAUCAGGAGGAACACCGGUGGCGAAGGCGGGUCUCUGGGCAGUAACUGACGCUGAGGAGCGAAAGCAUGGGUAGCGAACAGGAUUAGAUACCCUGGUAGUCCAUGCCGUAAACGGUGGGCGCUAGGUGUAGGGGUCUUCCACGACUUCUGUGCCGUAGCUAACGCAUUAAG